rnacentral:rRNA from 1 species
GACGAACGCUGGCGGCGUGCUUAACACAUGCAAGUCGAACGGAAAGGCCCUGCUUUUGUGGGGUGCUCGAGUGGCGAACGGGUGAGUAACACGUGAGUAACCUGCCCUUGACUUUGGGAUAACUUCAGGAAACUGGGGCUAAUACCGGAUAGGAGCUCCUGCUGCAUGGUGGGGGUUGGAAAGUUUCGGCGGUUGGGGAUGGACUCGCGGCUUAUCAGCUUGUUGGUGGGGUAGUGGCUUACCAAGGCUUUGACGGGUAGCCGGCCUGAGAGGGUGACCGGCCACAUGGGGACUGCGAUACGGCCCAGACGCCAACGGGAGGCAGCAGUGGGGAAUAUUACACAGUGGGCGGAAGCCUGAUGCAGCAACGCCGCGUGCGGGAUGACGGCCUUCGGGUUGUAAACCGCUUUCGCCUGUUACGAAGCGUGAGUGACGGUAAUGGGUAAAGAAGCACCGGCUAACUACGUG